AUGACCUCGGAUCAGGUAGGGAUACCCAGGGGCCUUAAGCGAGAAAUAGCGGAGGAAAAGAAACCAACAGGGAUUACCUCAGUAACGGCGAGUGAAGCGGCACGU
rnacentral:rRNA from 1 species